AUACGGAGGGUGCAAGCGUUAUUCGGAAUCACUGGGCGUAAAGGACGCGUAGGCGGGUUGGCAAGUCAGAUGUGAAAUCCUACAGCUUAACUGUAGAACUGCAUUUGAAACUGCUAACCUAGAGUAUGGGAGGGGGAGAUGGAAUUAGUGGUGUAGGUGUAAAAUCCGUAGAUAUCACUAGGAAUACCGAAAGCGAAGGCGAUCUCCUGGAACAUAACUGACGCUAAGGCGUGAAAGCGUGGGGAGCAAACAGGAUUAGAAACCCCAGUAGUCC
rnacentral:rRNA from 1 species